AUACCGGAUGGUUGUUUGAAUACCCGCAUGGUUCAAACAUAAAAGGUGGCUUCGGCUACCACUUACAGAUGGACCCCGCGGCGCAUUAGCUAGUUGGUGAGGUAACGGCUCACCAAGGCAACGAUGCGUAGCCGACCUGAGAGUAAGAUCGGCCAUACCACUGGGACUGAGACACGGGCCCAGACUYCUACGGGGAGGCAGCAGUAGGGAAUCUUCCGCAAUGGACGAAAGUCUGACGGAGCAACGCCGCGUGAGUGAUGAAGGUUUUCGGAUCGUAAAGCUCUGUUGUUAGGGAAGAACAAGUACCGGUUCGAAUAGGGCGGUACCUUGACGGUACCUAACCAAGAAAGCCACGGCUAACUACGUGCCAGCAGCCGCGGUAAUACGUAGGUGGCAAGCGUUGUCCGGAAUUAUUGGGCGUAAAGGGCUCGCAGGCGGUUUCUUAAGUCUGAUGUGAAAGCCCCCGGCUCAAUACCCGGGGAGGGUCAUUGGAAACUGGGGAACUUGAGUGUACCAGAAGAGGAGAGUGGAAUUCCACGUGUAGCGGUGAAAUGCGUAGAGAUGUGGAGGAACACCAGUGGCGAAGGCGACUCUCUGGUCUGUAACUGACGCUGAGGAGCGAAAGCGUGGGGAGCGAACAGGAUUAGAUACCCUGGUAGUCCACGCCGUAAACGAUGAGUGCUAAGUGUUAGGGGGUUUCCGCCCCUUAGUGCUGCAGCUAACGCAUUAAGCACUUACCCGCCUGGGGAGUCAGCAGGGGUCGCAAGACUGAAACUUACCAAAGGAAUUGACGGGGGCCCGCACAACGCCGGUGGAGCAUGUGGUUUAUUCGAAGCAACGCGAAGAACCUUACCAGGUCUUGACAUCCUCUGACAAUCCUAGAGAUAGGACGUCCCCUUCGGGGGCAGAGUGACAGGUGGUGCAUGGUUGUCGUCAGCUCGUGUCGUGAGAUGUUGGGUUAAGUCCCGCAACGAGCGCAACCCUUGAUCUUAGUUGCCAGCAUUCAGUUGGGCACUCUAAGGUG
rnacentral:rRNA from 1 species